AGUUUGAUCCUGGCUCAGGAUGAACGCUAGCGGCAGGCCUAAUAGAUGCAAGUCGAACGGUAGAUUGCUUUCGGGUAAUUGAGAGUGGCGAACGGGUGCGUAACGCGUAUGCAACCUACCCUAUACAGGGGGAUAGCCCGGAGAAAUCUGGAUUAAUACCCCAUAGUAUCAUUGAGCUGCAUGGUUUAAUGAUUAAAGAUUCAUCGGUAUAGGAUGGGCAUGCGUCUGAUUAGCUAGUUGGCGGUGUAACGGACCACCAAGGCUACGAUCAGUAGGGGUUCUGAGAGGAAGGUCCCCCACACUGGCACUGAGAUACGGGCCAGACUCCUACGGGAGGCAGCAGUAGGGAAUAUUGGGCAAUGGACGAGAGUCUGACCCAGCCAUGCCGCGUGCAGGAAGACGGCGUUCUGCGUUGUAAACUGCUUUUAUCUGGGAAGAAAAUGCCUGCGGGGGAAAUUGCCGGUACCAGAUGAAUAAGCACCGGCUAACUCCGUGCCAGCAGCCGCGGUAAUACGGAGGGUGCAAGCGUUGUCCGGAUUUAUUGGGUUUAAAGGGUGCGUAGGCGGCUGUUUAAGUCAGUGGUGAAAGACUCCGGCUCAACCGGAGCAGUGCCAUUGAUACUGGAUAGCUUGAGUAUUGGAGGGGUACAUGGAAUUGAUGGUGUAGCGGUGAAAUGCAUAGAUACCAUCAGGAACACCGAUAGCGAAGGCAUUGUACUGGCCAAUNACUGA
rnacentral:rRNA from 1 species